GGACUACCCGGGUAUCUAAUCCUGUUUGCUCCCCACGCUUUCGCGACUCAGCGUCAGUACCCUCCCAGAUGGCCGCCUUCGCCACCGGUGUUCCUCCCAAUAUCUACGAAUUUCACCUCUACACUGGGAAUUCCGCCAUCCUCGUCGGGACUCAAGCUCGCCAGUUUCGGACGCACUUCCAUGGUUGAGCCAUGGGUUUUCACAACCGACUUAACGAGCCGCCUACUCGCGCUUUACGCCCAAUAAUUCCGAGCAACGUUUGCACCCUCUGUAUUACCGCGGCGGCUGGCAC
rnacentral:rRNA from 1 species